CCUACGGGCGGCAGCAGUGGGGAAUAUUGGACAAUGGGGGGAACCCUGAUCCAGCGACGCCGCGUGAGUGAAGAAGUAUUUCUGUAUGUAAAGCUCUAUCAGCAGGGAAGUAAGAAAUGACGGUACCUGACUAAGAAGCCCCGGCUAACUACGUGCCAGGAGCAGCGGUAAUACGUAAGGCGCAAGCGUUAUCCGGAUUUACUGGGUGUAAGGGGAGCGUAGACGGCGAUGCAAGUCUGAAGUGAAAGGCGGGGGCCCAACCCCCGGAUUGCCUUGGAAACUGGAUGGCUGGAGUGCAGGAGAGGUAAGUGGAAUUCCUAGUGUAGCGGUGAAAUGCGUAGAUAUUAGGAGGAACACCAGUGGCGAAGGCAGCUUACUGGACUGUAACUGACGUUGAGGCUCGAAAGCGUGGGGAGCAAACAGGAUUAGAUACCCCAGUAGUC
rnacentral:rRNA from 1 species